CCUGGCAAUUAUUGGAAUCUUGGAUGCCCUGAUCCUCUCAUUUCUGGCAUUUGUGCUUGGCAACAGACAAGACAGCUUGCUAGCAGAGGAGCUCAAGUUGGAAAACAAAGAUGAUGGAAAUGCUUAAAACAAGUUAAGGUAGUAUGACACAGACUAAUUCCUACUAAGCCAAUCUUCACUAGAAUGAGCACAAAACAAAACGAAUAACAGCUUUUGUACAUCAACAUUAAAAUGGGAAGAAGCUUGGGAAAGGGCCUCCGACAGAGAAGAACGAUGACGAGUGCAAAAACGCCUGAUGGGUAAGCGCCACCUUCUAAACAUAGAUCAGCCAGACGUGGAAGUGAUUUUCAGAAGAGAAAUGCAAUCAUGGAUUACACACCAGCUCAUUAGAAACUGUUGCUGAAUGCAGCAUCCAGAAGACAUGCAUGAAAAGUCACAUUUGGGGAAUAAAUUAAAAGGGGUGUAGUUGUUGCUAGAUAAACAUAUGUAAUAUAUAUGCAUUCAAGAGGUUUGUAAAUGUCAUUUUUUUUAUUCGGACGGAAAGCAAAAAGCUUUAAAACCUUUCACAGUAGAGAGGCAGUUAACUCCAGACUAUUCCUAUCCCAGUAGCCAAGAAGCUGAUAGGACAUCUCUUAAAUUAGCAUUUACAAUAGACUCUCUGAAUGUUUCCAUCACUUAGUGGAAAAAGCAUAACUUUUACUGCUACAUUGCUGCACUUCAUUUACUUCACUGUAUAAUAAGUUGACUAAAACUGUAAAGCUUCUCAAUUUUUACUGUAUAUGUGUUCCAAUUAAUCUAUGUCUGUAACAAACUUGACUGAAAAAUUAUUUCUGACUUAUAUUCUAGUUCUAUGAAGCAUAUAUACUAUAAGAUAUGUCUGAUUGAAUAUCAUAUUACUAUAAUUUCCCAAGACACAUAGAAUUGUUUGUAUUUGAAGUGACAAAAUAAAAGCACUUGAUUUAUUUUUUAGUAGGAGAAAGUAAUUUACCCCUUAAAUGUAACAUACCACUGCUCACUGCAAGGGUCUUUCUAUUCUUUUCCUUGUUCUGCCAUAUAACCGCUGAGUGACACUCUCUGGCCUGUGCUAAUGCCAAUCAGGUGAAGUGAUCUAACAAUCCCUUCUGGCCUUAAACUCAAUUCAUAAAUUAAGAGACUAGUAAACAAAUACACAUUGCAAAUAGCUAUGUGAGGGCUGAGGGUGCAGAGCCUUGGGGCAUUGGUGAGGCUGGUGCUUCCCCCCACAGGGGCUCAACAGGUCACUCCUCAAAGGCACCCUCAUUUCCAGAAUCCACUGAGCACUAAAACAGGGGAAGGCACAAGAUAUCAAGAUGUCAUAGUGAAAGGUCUGGAUGCCAAGUGCCAGGCACAGAGCAAUGGAGGGAAGCAGGGACCCCUUCUCCUCUGCUCCUCCUCUCCAGUACCUCCCAGCAUGGCACACAUCUUCUGGCUCAGGACUGGGCAGGAGCAUGCUGCUUCCUACAUUUCUUCUACCCUCUCAUGCGUAUUGCAUCUGAAUCCAGCCCAAAAUGAGCACUGCAAUGCUAAUUUCUUCAGAUUUUUUAAGCCUGUUGCUUCAUUCUAUGGCUUUUUGGGGGAAUGGUUAAAAUAAUAAUUCAUUGCUAAUGUAGUUCCCAAAUAACACAAUACACUGAAGACAUGAGUAAAACAUGAGUUAAAACUGGUUUUUGUCUAUUGGCUACACAACACAAAUUAUUCCAAAAUUUUGUGCGUGGUCUUAUCUUUUAUUUUUUUAAAUAAAACCCAUCUUUAAACAAACUGUCAGUAAAUAAAUACAGGGAAUUAGAUAACUCUUCUAUCUAACUACCAAGGUACCAGUGUGGCACUGCUUAUCUUAGAGACUGAACGCUAAUGUGGAUAACUACCAAGUAAAUUUAUGUGUAAAUCUGGGCAGCAUUUUUUUAAGAAAACUUGUUUUAAUCCAAAUCUGCUCUCAUAACUGUGUGUAGGAGACUCCACUGACUUCCACAGGACCAGGUUUAGAGGCAGUCAAAAACCCCACCCAGAUCAAUCAACCACCAUAAAUAUAUUCCCAGUACCCACUGCUGACCUGAAGGGGAUGGAAGGUAAAAAUAAAGUAGUUUACACAUGAGACCGCAUAAACUCAUUAAGGUCCCACUUCAGAUAGGUUUUGAAGUCUGUGAUUAGUCCAACCAGUGUCAGCUGGAAAACGCACAUCCCUUAGGGCUGCAUGCAUUCAGGAGUCAUUGUUAAAUCGUGUCUCCAUGAAGCCCAUCCUCAUUCACUGCUCUUGUUGGCUCACAGCCACAGUCUCACCUCAAAAGCCUGUGAAAGGGUUUGCUAUCUGGAUGUGCUGUCGUAUCACUGUCUUCAUUUGCUCCUUGGGUUUACCUCUAUCCCACAUUAUAGCAGUCGUGGCACUUCUGCUGUGACAAAAAAUCAGAAAUCACUGAAACAGGGUUUUUCUGUAAUACAUUAUUUUGUUAUGGGCUACUAAGUUUUGCAUCAUGGUGGCUGUGUAAUAUAAAAGCUCUUUCUAAAUAUACACAAACGUUGCAAAAAAAGUGUCACCACAAGACCUCACAACCCUGUUAGGGCAGCUCAGUGAAUAUGUACCAUUUGUACACAGUCAGAAGGAGAUCAGGAUGUACAUCACUAAAUGUUGACUCAGUAUGAAUAGUAUGUUUUAUCUUUUUAAAUGUUACGGCUUUCCCAUCCCACUCAAUUGUAACUUGUCAAUUGUAAUUUUUUUUUAAAGUCAACAAACUGUAAAGAAAACUGUUGAAAUACCUGAUUUUCUGUAAAAAGUAAUAACAAUAAUUUUUGUUACUUUAAAGUAUGCUUGGUAUUAAAGUACCUAAUAAAGUUCAACAAUGAAUUUUGUAGCAUACAAAUAAAGUGUGAUAGUGCUUUUCUCCUGCUGAUCUGUGGUAACAGCUGCUGUUGUUGGGAUUACUGUCCUUCUAAACAGAAGCCUGGCCACCCCCUACACACCUGUACCUACACAGAUCCCUAAGAUAUGUAAAGUUCAAGAAAAAUCUGAUCCCUUAAUGAGUGCAGGGAUUUGUAUCCACAGGUCAAAUUAACAGUAUAAGUACCUUGCUGUUUAAGGUAAGUCAUCUCCACCCUCUGGUACCUGACUAUAUAUAUAUGGGCAACAAUAUAAAGUUCCUGAUUGCUUUAGUUUUUAGUAAGAGAAAGGAGACUGUAAAUUAUUUAGGAGUUAAUUAUCAUUAAAUAGAGAACUGACAGGUUUGUAGGAUGAUGGAGUCCUUCCAGUUCAUUUUUAUAGGCAACACAUUUCAGUUAUUCCUAAAUAGAUUGGAAAGCUCAAACAAGUUAUUUGGAGGACACAGUAAAGCCCCCAAAUUUAUCCCUCUUAAUUUCACUACAUGAAGUUACACUGGAAUGGUGUAUCAAAGAUGUACAUCAUCCCAGAGCUUGAACCAACAAGAGGCAAGUACUUUCUUGUCAAAUAGAUACUGGAUUUGCUUCCAUGAUGCUGAUGCAGUAGUAUCUGUGUCUGGAGACGAUCUAGAAAUGGUUGUGACUGGUAUCUAAUUAUUCCCAAACCCUAGGCUCUGCCAUAUUUCGUUAAGAGUAAUGGACCAGCUUCCCUCACACCAUCCAGCUUGCCCUGUUCUAGAUAGGAAAAUGUAAUGCUGGGCCCAGCAGCUUUCUGUCCAUUUUCACUCUGCUAGUCUGACAUCCUUAAACAUUUAAAAGUUUUAGUAGUUUCAGCUGAUUCCUUGAGCAUUUGAAAUGAAAUAAGAACUAGAAAAUUAAUUUUUAAAAAA